rnacentral:rRNA from 1 species
UCAGGAUGAACGCUAGCGACAGGCUAACACAUGCAAGUCGAGGGGCAGCAUAGAAGUAGCAAUACUUGGUGGCGACCGGCGCACGGGUGAGUAACGCGUAUGCAACCUACCUAUCAGAGGGGAAUAACCCGGCGAAAGUCGGACUAAUACCGCAUAAAACAGGGGCACCGCAUGGUGAUAUUUGUUAAAGAAAUUCGCUGAUAGAUGGGCAUGCGUUCCAUUAGGUAGUUGGUGAGGUAACGGCUCACCAAGCCGACGAUGGAUAGGGGAACUGAGAGGUUGGUCCCCCACACUGGUACUGAGACACGGACCAGACUCCUACGGGAGGCAGCAGUGAGGAAUAUUGGUCAAUGGGCGGGAGCCUGAACCAGCCAAGUCGCGUGAAGGAAGAAGGAUCUAUGGUUCGUAAACUUCUUUUGCAGGGGAAUAAAGUGCAGGACGUGUCCUGUUUUGUAUGUACCCUGAGAAUAAGGAUCGGCUAACUCCGUGCCAGCCGCCGC